rnacentral:rRNA from 1 species
GUUCCCUCCGAGACGGAUCCCGAGUAGUGCGGGGCACGUGAAACCCCGUAUGAAUCCGGCAGGACCAUCUGCCAAGGCUAAAUACUUCCUAGCGACCGAUAGUGAAGCAGUACCGUGAGGGAAAGGUGAAAAGCACCCCGGAAGGGGAGUGAAAUAGAACCUGAAACCGUGUGCUUACAAGAAGUCAGAGCCCGUUUUAGGGGUGAUGGCGUGCCUUUUGUAGAAUGAACCGGCGAGUUACGUUCCCGUGCAAGGUUAAGGUGAAGAGCCGGAGCCGCAGCGAAAGCGAGUCUGAAUAGGGCGACAUAGUACGUGGACGUAGACCCGAAACCGGGUGAUCUACCCCUGUCCAGGGUGAAGGUGCGGUAACACGCACUGGAGGCCCGAACCCACGCACGUUGAAAAGUGCGGGGAUGAGGUGGGGGUAGCGGAGAAAUUCCAAUCGAACUCGGAGAUAGCUGGUUCUCCCCGAAAUAGCUUUAGGGCUAGCCUCGGAAAACAGAGUCGUGGAGGUAGAGCACUGAUUGGGUGCGGGGCCCGCAAGGGUUACCAAGCUCAGUCAAACUCCGAAUGCCAUAGACUUACUUCCGGGAGUCAGACAGUGAGUGCUAAGAUCCAUUGUCAAAAGGGAAACAGCCCAGACCAUCAGCUAAGGUCCCCAAGUGUGUGUUAAGUGGGAAAGGAUGUGGAGUUGCACAGACAACCAGGAUGUUGGCUUAGAAGCAGCCACCAUUGAAAGAGUGCGUAAUAGCUCACUGGUCGAGUGACUCUGCGCCGAAAAUGUAACGGGGCUAAACACACCACCGAAGCUAUGGCUUG